rnacentral:rRNA from 1 species
CAGCAGCCACGGGAAUACGAAGGGGGCUAGCGUUGUUCGGAAUCACUGGGCGUAAAGCGCACGUAGGCGGACUUUUAAGUCAGGGGUGAAAUCCCAAGGCUCAACCUUGGAACUGCCUUUGAUACUGGAAGUCUUGAGUUCGGGAGAGGUGAGUGGAACUGCGAGUGUAGAGGUGAAAUUCGUAGAUAUUCGCAAGAACACCAGUGGCGAAGGCGGCUCACUGGCCCGAUACUGACGCUGAGGUGCGAAAGCGUGGGGAGCAAACAGGAUUAGAUACCCCUGUAGUCCCUGUCUCUUAUAC